UACAGAGGUCUCAAGCGUUGUUCGGAUUCAUUGGGCGUAAAGGGUGCGUAGGUGGUGGGGUAAGUCGGAUGUGAAAUCUCCAGGCCCAACCUGGAAACGGCAUUAGAAACUACAGGGCUAGAGGCUUGGAGGGGGAACUGGAAUGCUCGGUGUAGCAGUGAAAUGCGUAGAGAUCGAGCGGAACACCAGUGGCGAAGGCGAGUUCCUGGACAAGUCCUGACGCUGAGGCACGAAAGCCAGGGGAGCAAACAGG
rnacentral:rRNA from 1 species